GCCAUCACCUUCUCAAAAGCAGAGCAAAAUAGGGUCGUAGCACUGUUACGAGGCCGUUUAGCAGGUUUAUUCCACUUCUUCCCCGUGCAGCACAGUCCAUCAGGGAAUCGGGUUUCAUAAUAUAAACACAACUCGAUGGCAUAUGAAAAGUUAAACAUAUAUAUAUAUAUAUAUAUAUAUAUAAAGAACAUGAAUAAAAACAGAGAGAGAGAGAGAGUUUGAUGAAGAAAUACUUCAGUUCCAUGUGACUGUUUGAUUUCACUCAUUCAACCCUAAUCUCGACUGUAGCAAUGGAACGCACCUAACCCCAUGUGUCGUGAGCUUGGUUACCGGGAUUCCAACGCCUCACAUUGAAGAACAAUUUGCGAUCAACUUGCGACUGUAGUGUAUGCAGCAUUGGAUAUGCAUUGUAUGACACCAAAUGUCACUCCAGUUGUCCUUCGGCGAAUUAAAGAGCUCAAUUCUGCUGCUUCGAGAUAGAAAUCAAGUCUGGAUUUGUGUAGAGGUUGUGGAUUCGAGAUUUAGAGGCGCAUCCAAUGAUAGACGCUCAUCUAACUUUCAUAAAUUAGGUUUUCUGUUUACCAGAAACAUUCAGGUUGUUGUCAGCUGAUUUGUUCAACCCAUCGACAAGCAGAAUGCGAAUCACUGAUCACAUCAUGUCUGCAGCAUUAUGAUUGUGCUCUCUUUGAACUUGAAACGUGUGGUGGCGGACUUGCGAAUGAUUCGUUAGCUACAAGCAAGAAAUCAGGAGCAUUAGUUUAAGAAUUGAACGCCAGUUUGUUGAUUGAGUGCUUGGGCCAGUUGUGGUCAAGGUUUCAAUGGCACCCUGAGAUUGCUGGUGAGGUCAUGCGAUUUGACUUUGCCAAUUUUUGCCAAUGAGGUACAGAUCUUCUCAGAUUGAGAAAUUUCCGUUCCGUUGAAAUCUAGUUCUCUGUUGUGGAAGUUGGACAUUCUUAUCAGCAAUCGCAAUUAUUCCUCAUAUUGUAAUUUGUGAGCCCUUGUCUCAAAGUAAACCAGUAUUCUGCGCC